rnacentral:tRNA from 1 species
GUCAACAUAGCCUAGCAAUCCAAGGUGCUGCAUUCAGGCCACAAUUUACUCUAUAAGCGUGGGUUCGAAUCCCACUCCUGACA